UGAUUGCGGCUCAAAAGAGGAAGAUGGAGGAGGGUGCUCAUGGCUGGAAUGAGGAGAAAAAGCAUGAAUAGUGGCCGAAAUCCCAUGCUCCUUUUUGAAGUAUUAAGGGAUAAAGAUGAGUUCCUAUUUUUUAGGAACUCAUUCCUAUCCCUUUAGAUGAAAAGCAAGGAGGGGCGUAGCCCCCUCCUUUUCUUCUCACGCAAGCAAGGGAGGGGCGUACGCCCCUCCCUCU
rnacentral:lncRNA from 1 species